rnacentral:rRNA from 1 species
UACAGAGGGUGCAAGCGUUGUUCGGAAUUAUUGGGCGUAAAGCGCGUGUAGGCGGCAUUGCAAGUCGGGUGUGAAAUCCCCAGGCUCAACUUGGGAACUGCAUCCGAUACUGGAUGGCUUGAAUUCGGGAGAGGGAUGCAGAAUUCCAGGUGUAGCGGUGAAAUGCGUAGAUAUCUGGAGGAAUACCGGUGGCGAAGGCGGCAUCCUGGACCGACAUUGACGCUGAGGAGCGAAAGCUAGGGGAGCAAACGGG